GUCUACGGCCAUACCACCCUGAACGCGCCCGAUCUCGUCUGACCUUGGAAGCUAAGCAGGGUCGGGCCUGGUUAGUACUUGGAUGGGAGAAAUACAAGGAAUUGUAAGAA
rnacentral:rRNA from 1 species